GGGGCUGUAGCUCAGUUGGUAGAGCGCCUGCUUUGCAAGCAGGAUGUCAGGAGUUCGAAUCUCCUCAGCUCCA
rnacentral:tRNA from 2 species